AUUACCAGAAUUCCUGCCAGGGAUUGCUAAUUGGGUUAAUGGAGUGACUGUGUAAUUGUUCUCUCUCCCACCACACUGGCUGUUUUCCGACUACCUGCCUCUCAUCUGUUCCAGGAUCACUAAUUUGCAACAACAACUUCCAUUGUCGUCCACAUCUGGGACUUUGGGGUUUUAAGUGAAUCUCCCUAAGGCAGAGAAAAGAAGAUAGUGCUAUUUUGCCUCAAGGUCAUCCUUAUUGUCUCUAGGCAGCUCCAGGGCUUCUGAUCACAGGAUCCGGGAGUGCCCAGCGUGGGUCCCAGGGGGUCAGCUCAGGGCUGUUCCCACGGACACACCAGGAAGAACUGUUCUGGGCACUUCAUACAGUCCCACCUAAUAUUGUAUUGUCUUUACCUCCUGAGCUCCUGCCCCCCGCCCCCCAAACAUCUGGGAGGACACAGCAUGCUUAGACCUGCUCCCAUCCCCAGUGUGCUGUGCCUGUUGUGGUAGGUGCUCCAUAAAUGCUUAUUUCUGCCUUCAGUUUCGAUCUUUUGUAAACUCGCCUUACCCCUGCACCGUCCUCUGCUCUCGUUAGUGUGUAUGCUGCCCGUGCACAUCUUUGUUUUCACUGUAGCACUGUAGCGCACCGGUAGAGAGACUAGCUCGGAAGAGGAGCUUGAUAAGUAAUUAAUGAAUUAACUUGGAUGGGAAGUUCCUGCCAAUCAAAUAAGAGCCAGGCUUUCUCUGGAAGGAAGUGUUGAGACUGAGCAAAAGGUAACCAAAUGCACCAACACCUUCCCCAGCUAAGCUAGGGGCGUGUGCUCCGUGGGGGACUGGAAAGGCUGGAGUUGGCCCUCAGGGACACGUCUCCAUGUGACUAUCUGCACACCACUGCCCUCCACUGGACGCCAGGCCAAAGCUGCCCCAGACCUGCAUGUAUGUCAGGAUGCCCUCAGGUCUCCUUCCCUCCCUACUCUGGACCCAACUACUGGGCAGACCGGUUUCUUGGUUGGCUUUUCUCACCAGCUUUGUUUCACCCUGACUGCUUUGCAUUGAAUCCAUGAAACCUGGGAAGGUAGGAGAGGAACAGCGGCUUCUUUGACUCCUGGCACAUAGUGGGUUCCAUCAAUACUUAAUGCAUGAAAAUCAAUGUAAGGACACACAGCUCCUGGCACGGCAGCAGUACUGUGGACCAUUAUUAUGAUUAUUAACAUGAGAAUCCAUUUAAGAACUUACACCUGUUCUUGGUCUAGAACAGCUAUGGCGCUGACCAUUU
rnacentral:lncRNA from 1 species